GACGAACGCUGGCGGCGUGCUUAACACAUGCAAGUCGAACGGAAAGGCCCUGAUCUUGUGGGGUGCUCGAGUGGCGAACGGGUGAGUAACACGUGUGUAACCUGUCCUUGACUUUGGGAUAACUUCAGGAAACUGGGGCUAAUACCGGAUAGGAGCUCCUGCUGCAUGGUGGGGGUUGGAAAGUUUCGGCGGUUGGGGAUGGACUCGCGGCUUAUCAGCUUGUUGGUGGGGUAGUGGCUUACCAAGGCUUUGACGGGUAGCCGGCCUGAGAGGGUGACCGGCCACAUUGGGACUGAGAUACGGCCCAGACUCCUACGGGAGGCAGCAGUGGGGAAUAUUGCGCAAUGGGCGGAAGCCUGAUGCAGCAACGCCGCGUGCGGGAUGACGGCCUUCGGGGUGUAAACCGCUUUCGCCUGUGACGAAGCGUGAGUGACGGUAAUGGGUAAAGAAGCACCGGCUAACUACGUG
rnacentral:rRNA from 1 species